GAAAGGCGCGCGAUACAGGGUGACAGCCCCGUACACAAAAGCGCAUGUGCUGUGAGCUCGAUGAGUAGGGCGGGACACGUGGUAUCCUGUCUGAAUAUGGGGGGACCAUCCUCCAAGGCUAAAUACUCCUGACUGACCGAUAGUGAACCAGUACCGUGAGGGAAAGGCGAAAAGAACCCCGGCGAGGGGAGUGAAAAAGAACCUGAAACCGUGUACGUACAAGCAGUGGGAGCACAGGUUUACCUGUGUGACUGCGUACCUUUUGUAUAAUGGGUCAGCGACUUAUAUUCUGUAGCAAGGUUAACCGAAUAGGGGAGCCGGAGGGAAACCGAGUCUUAACCGGGCGUUAAGUUGCAGGGUAUAGACCCGAAACCCGGUGAUCUAGCCAUGGGCAGGUUGAAGGUUGGGUAACACUAACUGGAGGACCGAACCGACUAAUGUUGAAAAAUUAGCGGAUGACCUGUGGCUGGGGGUGAAAGGCCAAUCAAACCGGGAGAUAGCUGGUUCUCCCCGAAAGCUAUUUAGGUAGCGCCUCGUGAAUUCAUCUCCGGGGGUAGAGCACUGUUUCGGCUAGGGGGCCAUCCCGGCUUACCAACCCGAUGCAAACUGCGAAUACCGGAGAAUGUUAUCACGGGAGACACACGGCGGGUGCUAACGUCCGUCGUGAAGAGGGAAACAACCCAGACCGCCAGCUAAGGUCCCAAAGUCAUGGUUAAGUGGGAAACGAUGUGGGAAGGCCCAGACAGCCAGGAUGUUGGCUUAGAAGCAGCCAUCAUUUAAAGAAAGCGUAAUAGCUCACUGGUCGAGUCGGCCUGCGCGGAAGAUGUAACGGGGCUAAACCAUGCACCGAAGCUGCGGCAGCGAACGUAUCACUUAAAGCGAUUCAGCGGGUUACGAUUGACGGAGCGAAGCGACGUCAAAGCGUAUACAAAGUCGAGUCGGUUUAAGGAUACGUUCGUUGGGUAGGGGAGCGUUCUGUAAGCCUGUGAAGGUGUGUCGUGAGGC
rnacentral:rRNA from 1 species